rnacentral:lncRNA from 1 species
UUCCUUCAGAAGCUCUUUCUCUGGAAUUGCUUUGAUUGUUGAAUCAGAUUCCUUCUUUUCUUCACUGAUCUCACUCUCUUUAUCUUCCAUUUCCUUCCCUUUCUUUAUCUCUUCUUCUUUCUCAACAUGUGGCUUAGGUGUUGGCUGCUCAAUUUUCUUACCACUCCUUAGAGUGAUCAAGGCUUUGACAUCUUUCACCUGUGAUGAUUCUCCCUCAUGACUUUCCACUUCAUGGACACCUUUGGGAUUUUGGUUAGGUUGAGAAGGAAAUCUUCCCUUUUCUUGCAGUGUAUUCAAAUUUGUAAGCCUGGAGAUUGAAUAUUGGAUGUUAUCAAA